UCUCUGGUGGUUCAGUGGUUAAGACUCCACACUCCAAUUGCAGGGGGCCCAGGUUCCAUCCCUGGCUGGAGAA
rnacentral:tRNA from 1 species